GUUAUGUUUGAUGCACAGUGUCAAUUUUGUAAUUACUUAAACACUCAUCGACAUCUUUAAUGAACAAGGUAUGUUUCCUAAAGUUUGCUUAUUGUACAUAUCACUUGAUAUUAUAUUCUUUUAAGGUUUUUUCUCGUAUUAUAUUUUCACUAUUAUCACAUUCAUUUAUAAAAAUGCUUUGAAUUAUUUAUUAUAUAUUUAAAUAAUAAUAUAUUAUACACAUAUUCAGCAAUACUAGUAUUGUAUGUUUGAGAUAUUUACUCUGUAAUUGUACCGUGUGUCCCACCAUGUUCGUAGAAUUAGACCUAUAAAAAUUAAAUUUGUUUCAAUUUUUUUUUUCAAUCAGUUUUUCUUGGAGGGGGAUAUCGAUUUUGAAAAAAAAUAAAUUUGUAUUUCCAUUCCCUAGGACCUAAAUAUAUAUGAAACAAAUAGCUUUUUAUUUAUUCAAUUUACACAAUUUUGCAAAAAGUCAUUUUCUAAAAGUUAUUAUUCUAAACAUUUUAAUGUAUCACACAUUCAUAUCCAAUGAAUAGUUUCUAAGUAGAAGUUGUUUUAAUUUCUAGAAAAAGUGUGAAAACAAUUAAUAUUCAAUAAUAAUCAUAAUUCCUUAUCACAACAGUUGUUUAUCCUUUUAUACUAUAAUAACUACUUUAAAGAAUAAAAAAAAUAAAAAAAUAGCUUUAAUUAAUGGUUAUAACUUAAAAUUUAAAACAAAUUACACAUUUCCAUUAAAAAUAAUCAACUUAUGAGACAUAAUAUAAAUAUACUUUACAUUUUUUUUUUACUAAGUACUACAUUUCUUUAGUUAAAUCCAUAAAACGAAACUACAUUAUUUGGCUGUUUUUCAACACUCCAGGAGUACGAGAAGGGGGCAUGAUUAGUCAUGAUCAAGUUUAAUCAAAAUUACUCUUUUAUAAAAAUGAAAAAAAUGUAGGGGUCCUACAUUUCAAGUAGGUAUCAAUAGUUUUUUUCUUCUAUAAAUAAGGUCCAUUCUAAUGUAUAAUUUGAAAAUAACUUGAAUUGUUUAUCUAUAAUAAGUUUCUUUGAAUUUGCAUAGUUCAGUAUCAGCAUGGUGAUGAAGAAUGAACAAAAGUCUAGUUAAGAUUGGGAUCAUAUAGUUUCAAUUAUCAAGUCAUCACAUAAAUGAUUGAAGAAAAAUUAUAAAUCAAAUUAGUUAUCGUAAAAUAAAAAAUACUUUUAGAUUAAUAAACAAAACCAUUGUGUGUUAAUUGAUUUAUAAUGUACUCGCUGUGUAUUAUAAUAAUUAAUUUUUUUCAUUUGUACAUUUACCAUUCAGUAUUUAUUUAAUUCAUAUUUUUAUUUUAAUCACAGUAACCACUUUUUUUUUUAUUAUGUUUUGUUUUUAUAUAAUUUUCAUUUUUGUUAUUAUCUGUUAUGUAUAAUAAUUACAUUAUUUACACUUUUAAAAUGUGUAUUAAGAAAAAAUAAUUGUGAAAUUCACUGUAUUUUGUACAUUUUUAACUUAUCUGUAAUGUAACAUGGAUUAUAAAAUCAUUGAUUAUUAAUAUUAAAUUAUAAUUUGUACAUAAUACAAUAAUAGUUGUUUCCAUUAUUUUUAAAGUUAUGUCUAGAUUUCUAGAUUUGUAUGCAAGUAUUUAGUAAUACAAAGAGUGUUUUAUAUUAAGGUUAGUUAUGAGUAGAGACUGGAUAUAUGUUUUUAAAAUCCACAAAAAAGCACUUGAAAAUGUCAAAAAGCCUUGAAAAAUAUCACUUAACAAAUACAUAAAAACAUUUAAUAGUCCCCUCUCUAACGGAUUUAAUUUCUAAAUAUAAUUCUCUAACACUACAAAAACGAUUAAUGUAAUUUGUUUUUUUAUAACACGUACAAUUUUAUUUAAAAGAAAUAAUUUUUGUAAUGUUAGGAAAUUCAAUUUAAUAACUGAAAGAGCCAUUGGAGGAGGACUUUAGAACCCCUCAAUCAUUUAUAUUUUUAUGUUUUUAAGGGUUUUUAAGCACCACAAAAUUUAAAGAUUUAUUACUCUGAACAGAAUGGUAAGGAAAUUAAUAUCAGUCAAUUAGUACAGCUUUUGUUUCUUUUAUAAAUAAGCAGUUAAAAUGUUGGCAAUGCCAAGAAUUAGGGCAUGGGAAAUGGAAGUGUCUAAAUAAACCAAAAAAAAGAUAUAUAUGGAUAUGGUAUGGAAAAAGAAACAAGCUCAUCAGACAACUGAGAACGAAUCAGAUGAAAAUCGAAGUCUUACUUUUCUAUCAAAUCAAAAUUAAGAACAUAGUUCCAAUAUUCCUUACUCAAAUCCUGACUUUGGGAGCUUCUGACCACUUAAUCAACAAUAACCAGCAAUUUAACUCCAUAGAAGAAUUGAAAAAUCCUAUUUCAAUUAGUGUUGCCAACACAGGACAAGACUUAAAAGGGGAAUUCAUUGGAGUCGUCAGCCUAUUUCAAUUAUUAAAUAGUACAAAUAAUAUUUUAAAUUUAAAAAGUAUUACAUACAUAUAUAAGUUCCAGAAUUAAGAAAUAAUCUAUUAUCAAUGGGGUGCAUUGAGCAGAGUGGCUUACAUAAUGAAAUAAUAAUUAAUUACUGUAAUACCAAUGACAAUUUUCAAUUAUGGCAUAGAAGAUUUGGUCACGUUAAUGAAAAAUGCAUGCACAAGUUUCAAAAUUUGGUAGAUAAUCUGAAAUUAAGUCAGACUACCACUAAUUUUUCCAAACCUUGUAAAACAUGUGUCAUGGGCAAACAAACUAGAAAAACUUUUACUGGAAUACAAAUUUGAGCAACAAAACCUCUACAAAUUGUGCACACACAUAUUUGUAUAGCCAAAAUCACCAAAAACUUGAGACAGAAAUAAAUAUUUUGUUACUUAUUUAGAUGAAUAUAGACAUUUUAUUGUAAUUUUUCUUAUUAGUUCAAAGACAAAGUUCAUAAAUGUUAUAAAGUUUAUGAAGCUAUGGUAACUGCUCACAAUAAUAAAAUAGUAUGCUUAAGAUGUGAUAACAGUGGUGAAAAUAUGUCACAGAAGCAAGAAAUAUUUUGUCGAGAAGUUGCAUCUCAUUAAGAAAAUAAUACUUGGUUUCUGAUUUAUCUAUUUGAAGAAAGAAAGUGGUCAAAGAUAGAUGGGUUUAUAGAUUGAAAAUCAAAGGUGAUAAAAACAAUUUAAAGCGAGGUUAUUGGCGAAAGGUUACCUACAACAACUAUGCUCCGAUUAUAAGGAAAUUUAUGCUUCAGUAGUAAACAUUAUCACUAUAAGAACAUUAUUGUGUCAUAAAUCAACAAAAUGUGUAUAUGUGUCAAAAUAAUUUGAUGUAAAAAUAGCUUUUAUCAAUAGACAUUGGGAUGAGGAGGUAUAUAUGGAGCAGCCUCAAGGUUUUGUU